UAACGAGUGACUGGACUCAACGUGCGGCCAGGUUUCUGCCCCGUGAGGACUGGUACUGGCUCUUUCAAAAAGGCAAGGACUGGCAGUGACUGUCUUCAAUAUUCCCAUGACCGGAGCUUUUCCUGGCACUAAGGUCUGGAGCCAAGCCUCGCAGAAAGUCUUGGUGAUGGGGCUUUAGCUAGACAUCUUUCUUCUCUGCCUUUCCUCAGAUGCAGCGGUCCUUGAGUUGCAAACCUGAGCAGAACAGCGCUCAUCCCAACCAGCUCGGCUCGCUGAUGGAGGUGUUCAGAUGGGAAGAGUCACUGGCAAAUGGCAAACCACGCUGCCAGAAGGGAAGGGGGUGCCCAGAGUUGGACUGGAGACACCGUAAAGGCAGCGCUGUCUGUGCACCUCUGAGGUGGCAGGGAGCUGUGAGCUCCUCGCUCCGUACCUGGAAAAUGAGCGUGUGCUGCCCCGAGGCCAGAUGAAGGUGGUUGUGGAAACAGGAAAACAAACUAAAGCCGGACUGCUUUCACUGCUGGGCAACAUUUUUUCCACCUCAACUCUUUCUGCUAUCACAUUGCGAUCUUACAGGUACGUUUUCCCCAUGUGCGUUUUUGGGGAGGAUUAAAGAGAACUGAUUCUUUAAAUAUGGCAAAGCUGUAAAAGCAACUCGCUGAGUUUUGCUUUGCUCUUUUUCUCUUUUAGCUGCCAAGUCAUGUUAACCCCUGAUAAAUUUGCUUUUAUUUC